UAUUGAAACACUUGUUCUCAUAUGAUCACCGAAGUUAAACAAUAUUAAACCUGAUCAGUACUUAGAUGGGUGACCUCUUGGGAAUAUCAGGUGCUAUA